UUCAUUACCUUUACACUUCAAAGCAGGUAGACAAAUAUAUGACAGUGACACAAAAUAAUUUUUAAAUUGCUCCAUUGAAAUUGUUCAAAAACUCUUUAAAAUGUCGAUUUACACUACGGAGGAACGUAUUGAGAUGGUUUCAAACUACAUUAGAGGAAUGUCGGCGCAAGAAGUGGUAGAUAAUUUUGCCGUGUCUUAUCCUAACCGUCCCGUCCCGUCUAGAUCAACUGUACAACGGUUUCAUGAAAAAUGUAUUACGAUUGGAUGCAUCGCCAGUUCUCACUUAAAACGAAAAAGAACCGAAACUGUAGUAGACGAAGAAUUUAAAAUGGAGGUAUGCUUGGCCGUUGAAGAAAAUCCAACAAAUAGUCUUACUCAGUUUGCUGAAGUUACCGGAAAAAGUAGGAGUAGUUGUUAUAAGAAUGCAGUUUUGUGCACAGUGGAUGGAACGAAUUAACAAUGACCCAGAAAACGCAUACCCAAACAAGACAGAAACUUAACGUGUGGGCAGGAAUUCUUGGAGAUCGAAUAAUUGGACCAUUUUUCAUAGAGGGUAGCCUGAAUACUGCAAAAUAUUUAGAAUUACUUCAGGUGCAGGUCAUUCCCGCAUUAGGAAACGCUGUUCAAAAUGGCAGGAUAAUUUUCCAACAUGAUGGAGCCCCCGCUCAUAGUGCAGCGACUGUUACCGAGUUUUUGAAUGCCACGUUCCCAGGACGCUGGAUUGGACGUUUUGGGCCAUCUAAAUGGCCGGCGCGAAGCCCCGAUCUUUCGCCUUUAGAUAACUUUUAUUGGGGCUAUCUAUCAUCGAAAGUGUUUGAUAUUGUCAGACCCAACAAUAUCGAAGAACUUCGUAAUAGAAUUAUCGAGGCUUCGCGUACCAUUACUCCCCGGCAGCUCCUAAAUGUUAAAAGACAUUUCUACAACUGUCUGGGCUUUUGUUUGGCUCCUCCAAAUUGAGCUUGAUAAAUUGAUAAAUUGUUCAAAGUCACUUUGAACAAUUUAUUUAAAAGGUUUUAUUUGUUUAUUGUUGAUUUUUGAAAAUAUAUUUUUGAGAUUUUGAGGAAAUUAUUUUGUGUCACUGUCAGAUAUUUGUCUACCUGCUUUAAAGUGUAAAGGUAAUGAAGGUUACGAGGUGCAGAAAAAGCAAACUUCUUCAUCAGAAAAACGUAUUUUAAAUAGGUUUCUCGCAAUUUUUUUGGCAAAAUAAUGGGAUUUUUUAAUGUCUGUUAACUUAAACUUCACUUGUUUCAAUCAAGCUUCACCAAGUCUCAAUCCUAUCGAUUAAAUAGAACAGGUUCUGACAUGGGGUUGAAAAUAUUACACGUAAAACCCUAUGACCCGAGAUAAAAAAAAUGCACUGUACAUUAUGUAUAUUAUGUAUUACUGUUAUGAAUUUAAAGUUUAACAGGAUUGUAAUUGGGCUUUGCCCGUUUAUAAAUAAAUAAAUAAAUAAAUAA